UGGGGAAUAUUGCACAAUGGGGGAAACCCUGAUGCAGCGACGCCGCGUGAGCGAAGAAGGUUUUCGAAUCGUAAGCUCUGUCCUAUGAGAAGAUAAUGACGGUAUCAUAGGAGGAAGCCCCGGCUAAAUACGUGCCAGCAGCCGCGGUAAUACGUAUGGGGCGAGCGUUGUCCGGAAUUAUUGGGCGUAAAGGGUACGUAGGCGGUCUAUUAAGUCAGGUGUGAAAGCGUGAGGCUUAACCUCAUUAAGCACUUGAAACUGAUAGACUUGAGUGAAGGAGAGGAAAGUGGAAUUCCUAGUGUAGCGGUGAAAUGCGUAGAUAUUAGGAGGAAUACCGGUGGCGAAGGCGACUUUCUGGACUUUUACUGACGCUCAGGUACGAAAGCGUGGGGAGCAAACAGG
rnacentral:rRNA from 1 species